rnacentral:lncRNA from 1 species
AAAUAUUCUUUCUUUUCACAAAUACACAACGCUAAGUCAAGACAGAAUAAAAAUAAUAAUAAUAAAUCAAUAAAACGUGAAUAAAUUUAAAUGUAUUGACUACGUUUGUUAGUUUUUAGUUAUGUCGUCGAAUCGCACAUGAAAAAUUCUUGUUGGCCACACCACGAUGUUGAAGGUGGAAUUCGAUGGACAGGGCUCAGAUCCCUCCUGAAAAACGACGUGUCAUAUCCAAGGAUGUAUUACAUUAAGAUCCUCCGAGGUGUUAAGCGCACGCUUUAUCACACAAUUUUAUUGGCAUUAAAAGUAAAAACAUUUUGCCGGGAUUCGAACUGCAAUCACAUUGACUAUCGACCCAGUUAUAGGAACC